GACGUAGGGCGCGAGCGUUGUCCGGAAUUAUUGGGCGUAAAGAGCUCGUAGGCGGUUUGUCGCGUCUGCUGUGAAAACUGGGGGCUCAACCCCCAGCCUGCAGUGGGUACGGGCAGACUAGAGUGCGGUAGGGGAGAUUGGAAUUCCUGGUGUAGCGGUGGAAUGCGCAGAUAUCAGGAGGAACACCGAUGGCGAAGGCAGAUCUCUGGGCCGUAACUGACGCUGAGGAGCGAAAGCAUGGGGAGCGAACAGG
rnacentral:rRNA from 1 species